rnacentral:rRNA from 1 species
GACGAACGCUGGCGGCGUGCUUAACACAUGCAAGUCGAACGCUGAAGCUCAGCUUGCUGGGUGGAUGAGUGGCGAACGGGUGAGUAACACGUGAGUAACCUGCCCUCUUCUUUGGGAUAACGCCCGGAAACGGGUGCUAAUACUGGAUAUUCACUGAUUCUCGCAUGGGGGUUGGUGGAAAGGUUUUUUCUGGUGGGGGGUGGGCUCGCGGCCUAUCAGCUUGUUGGUGGGGUGAUGGCCUACCAAGGCUUUGACGGGUAGCCGGCCUGAGAGGGUGACCGGUCACAUUGGGACUGAGAUACGGCCCAGACUCCUACGGGAGGCAGCAGUGGGGAAUAUUGCACAAUGGGCGAAAGCCUGAUGCAGCGACGCCGCGUGAGGGAUGGAGGCCUUCGGGUUGUAAACCUCUUUCGCUCAUGGUCAAGCCGCAGCUUUGGGUUGUGGUGAGGGUAGUGGGUAAAGAAGCGCCGGCUAACUACGUG